rnacentral:rRNA from 1 species
AACGAACGCUGGCGGCAGGCCUAACACAUGCAAGUCGAACGCUCCAGCAAUGGAGAGUGGCGGACGGGUGAGUAACGCGUGGGAACCUACCCUUUGGUUCGGAAUAGCCCAGGGAAACUUGGGGUAAUACCGGAUAAGCCCUUCGGGGGAAAGAUUUAUCGCCAAUGGAUGGGCCCGCGUCGGAUUAGCUAGUUGGUGGGGUAACGGCCUACCAAGGCGACGAUCCGUAGCUGGUCUGAGAGGAUGAUCAGCCACACUGGGACUGAGACACGGCCCAGACUCCUACGGGAGGCAGCAGUGGGGAAUAUUGGACAAUGGGCGCAAGCCUGAUCCAGCCAUGCCGCGUGAGUGACGAAGGUCUUCGGAUUGUAAAGCUCUUUUGGCGGGGACGAUAAUGACGGUACCCGCAGAGUAAGCCCCGGCUAACUUCGUGCCAGCCGCCGCAGUAAUAC